GGUGUGUCGAAGGCUCCCAAAUCAAGGAGUGGGCUAGAAGUGAAGAAAAGCAUUCACGUCACUCACCGUGGAGCAUCUGCGGUUUUCUCUCCACAGAUGGAAGCUUGCAAGAGACCUGAAUGUGCCUGAGUCCAGAGUGCAGGUUUGGUUUAACAAUCGUAGAGCCAAG